AUCCAACUCACCAGUCCCAAACAGAACGAAACGCGCGUCCUGGAU
rfam:Schistosoma haematobium scaffold824_9, whole genome shotgun sequence.